rnacentral:rRNA from 1 species
GAUGAACGCUGGCGGCGUGCCUAAUACAUGCAAGUUGAGCGAAUGGAUUAAGAGCUUGCUCUUAUGAAGUUAGCGGCGGACUGGUGAGUAACACGUGGGUAACAUGCCAAUAAGACUGGGAUAACUCCGGGAAACCGGGGCUAAUACCGGAUAACAUUUUGAACCGCAUGGUUCGAAAUUGAAAGGCGGCUUCGGCUGUCACUUAUGGAUGGAACCGCGUCGCAUUAGCUAGUUGGUGAGGUCACGGCUCACCAAGGCAACGAAGCGAAGCCGACCUGUGAGGGUGAUCGGCUAGACUGGGACUGAGACACGGCCCAGACUCCUACGGGAGGCAGCAGUAGUGAAUCUUCCGCAAUGGACGAAAGUCUGACGGAGCAACGCCGCGUGAGUGAUGAGGGCUUUCGGAUCGUAAAACUCUGUUGUUAGGGAAGAACAAGUGCUAGUUGAAUAAGCUGGCACCUUGACGGUACCUAACCAGAAAGCCACGGCUAACUACGUGCCAGCCGCCGCAGUAA